CACAGGUACUGGAGCAGGAGUCUACUGCCAAGACCUCAACAUACGGAUUGCACAAGCGCUUGGUUUGACCGACAGUCCUCUGUGCAGAGCCUGCAUGGAGGAGGACGAGACACCGCUACACGUUAUGCUCAGUUGCAGAGGCGUAACGGAACAACGAGCAACCUACAUUGGCUCCUCAGCGACACUCCAUGAGGCUAUCGGCGACCUGGGCGGCCUGCUAAGCUUCUGGAGCGAGCUCGGCUGGAUGGAAUAAAUCCAGCGGGAACCUACACCAAGGGACCCACGCACAACGGCCAAACACUUGGCUAAGUGCGGAAACGGCCCAGAAGAAAGAAGAAGAAGAAGGAUACCUCUUAUAAUAAAAGGACGCACAAUCAUGUAGAAAAUUUCACUUAAAAACUGGCCAAUUUUGCUUUGACAGUUUUAGAAUUAUUGGUAAAGAAAAUUAUACCUAAAGGUCUUUAAAUAUAGUACAAUAUUCAAUAAAAUCCCAAAUU